UUGUUUGUUAGAUAACCACAUGUAGUGGUUACGUAGAUUGUAUGUUUAUAUUUUGUUUUACUAUUUCUUGUUGUUUGUGGCGUUCGAGGAACGGAGGACGCACCCCUACAAGCAACAACUUUUAGGUACUAACGAUGCCGAGUACACCGAUGCGUUUAUGGGAUCUAUGUAGCUCGCAAAGAGAGCGGGUAUGGCUCUGCACCGUAACAUGGACUACACGUUACACCUUCCAUACUCAAGUCCACAUAGUGACAAGUGAUAGAUCGGAUACAACGUGCAUCGAGUACACCCAGUGGAGGUUACAGAGGAUCAAGGUACCAUUCAGACAUGUCGUCUAGAAGAUGGAGGAGUACCAGGAACUAUUGAGGCAGUUGGAACCGAUGUCUCAGGAGGAGAGUGACGAUUUUUCCGAGGACACAUUUUAGUUAAUUUUGUACUUCGAGUGAGAUAUGUGGUUUGCUUUAGUACUAGUUUCUUUACUCUUUUGAUGUAUUUUGAAAGAUAUCUUCUCCACAGGUAUGUAUUUUGUUGUAGCAGGGAUGAAAAAUAUAUUUUGUUUAUUAUCACACCAUUAUGGGUUGUAUUCAUAUAUUUCUU
rnacentral:lncRNA from 1 species